ensembl:lncRNA novel transcript
GUAUCCAGGAUCCUUCUACUGUGUUUCUCCUCCAUUGCGAAGUCCUUCACUUCCAGCACCUGAGACAUUUUUUGGGUAUAUCUACAAGUGGCAUAUAUCACUUCUGCCCACAUUCACCUGGGUAGAACUCAAUCACAUUGUUUCACCUAACUGCAAGUGAGGCUGUGGAAUAUAGUCUCCCUAUGUGCCCAAGCAGAAGAAACAGGAUUGUGUGACUCUACAAUGUGUGAUUGCUCCUGGUGAAUCAAAAGGAUAAAGCUGCUGAUUCUGCAAUUUGAUAACCCAACCAUGCUGACCUCAAAGUGUAGUCAAUCCAUGAAGUUCCUCCCACCACAGCUCAUCCUGAACACUGCCCACCUGAGUCAUCAAGAAAGGUUUAAGUACA